rnacentral:piRNA from 1 species
UGCUCAGCAUGGCUGGCUGUGGUUGU